AGUGAACGCUGGCGGUAGGCCUAACACAUGCAAGUCGAACGGCAGCACAGCAGUAGCAAUACUGUGGGUGGCGAGUGGCGGACGGGUGAGGAAUACAUCGGAAUCUACCUUUUCGUGGGGGAUAACGUAGGGAACUUACGCUAAUACCGCAUACGACCUUAGGGUGAAAGUAGGGGAUCGCAAGACCUUACGCGGAUAGAUGAGCCGAUGUCGGAUUAGCUAGUUGGCGGGGU
rnacentral:rRNA from 1 species